GACGAACGCUGGCGGCGUGCUUAACACAUGCAAGUCGAACGGUAAGGCCCUUUGGGGUACACGAGUGGCGAACGGGUGAGUAACACGUGGGUGAUCUGCCCUGCACUUCGGGAUAAGCCUGGGAAACUGGGUCUAAUACCGGAUAGGACCACUGCCUGCAUGGGUGGUGGUGGAAAGCUUUUGCGGUGUGGGAUGGGCCCGCGGCCUAUCAGCUGGUUGGUGGGGUGAUGGCCUACCAAGGCGACGACGGGUAGCCGGCCUGAAAGGGUGACCGGCCACACUGGGACUGAGAUACGGCCCAGACUCCUACGGGAGGCAGCAGUGGGGAAUAUUGCACAAUGGGCGCAAGCCUGAUGCAGCGACGCCGCGUGAGGGAUGACGGCCUUCGGGUUGUAAACCUCUUUCAGCACCGACGAAGCGCAAGUGACGGUAGGUGCAGAAGAAGGACCGGCCAACUACGUGCCAGCCGCCGCCUAA
rnacentral:rRNA from 1 species